CUUUUCAAAGUAGGCAGCAGGCGCGCAAUUACCCAAUCCUGACUCAGGGAGGUAGUGACAAGAAAUAACAAUAAACCGGCUUAUGCCGGUUUAAUUGGAAUGAGUACAAUUUAAACAUCUUAACGAGGAACAAUUGGAGGGCAAGUCUGGUGCCAGCAGCCGCGGCAAUUCCAGCUCCAAUAGCGUAUACUAAAGUUGUUGCAGUUAAAAAGCUCGUAGUUGGAUUUCUGUGGGGACGGAGCGGCCGGCCGCACAUCGCGGUUCGAGCUAGCGCUUUCCCUACAUCCUGCCGCGAACCGUGCUACCAUUAGUUUGGUGGCGCCGGGGAUCGGCUCGAUUACUUUGAGAAAAAUAGAGUGUUCAAAGCAGGCCACAUGCCUUGAAUAAGUUAGCAUGGAAUAAUAACUAAGGACUUCGGUUCUAUUUUGUUGGUGUUCGGGACUGAAGUAAUGAUUGAUAGGGACAGUUGGGGCGGUCUGUAUUCCAAAGCGAGAGGUGAAAUUCUUAGACCUUCGGAAGACAAACAGCUGCGAAAGCGUUCCGCAAGGAUGUUCCCUUUGAUCAAGAACGAAAGUUGGGGGAUCGAAGACGAUCAGAUACCGUCGUAGUCUCAACUAUAAACUAUACCAGCUAGGGAUCGGCCAACGUUAUUUUAUACCGACUUGGUCGGCACCUUAUGAGAAAUCAAAGCAUCUGGGUUCCGGGGGGAGUAUGGUCGCAAGGCUGAAACUUAAAGGAAUUGACGGAAGGGCACCACCAGCCGUGGAGCCUGUGGCUUAAUUUGACUCAACACGGGAAAACUUACCAGGUCCAGACAUAGUAAGGAUUGACAGAUUGAUAGCUCUUUCUUGAUUCUGUGGGUGGUGGUGCAUGGCCGUUCUUAGUUGGUGGAGUGAUUUGUCUGGUUAAUUCCGAUAACGAACGAGACCCCAGCCUGCUAAAUAGCGCGCGUGAGCUUUGCUCGCGGCGAGCUUCUUAGAGGGACUAUGAUGCGCGAUAGCACAUGGAAGUUUGGGGCAAUAACAGGUCUGUGAUGCCCUUAGAUGUUCUGGGCCGCACACGGGCUACACUGGCGCCUGCAACGAGCAUAUCAGCUGGUCCGAGAGGAUCUUGGCUAAUCUUUUGAACCGGCGCCGUGCUUGGGAUUGACCUUUGCAAUUGUUGGUCAUGCAACGAGGAAUGCCUUGUAAACGCGAGUCAUCAGCUCGCAUUGAAUACGUCCCUGCCCUUUGUACACACCGCCCGUCGCUCCUACCGAUGAAUGUUCCGAUGAAAUUUUCGGAGAGUGCCUGUGAACUUGGCUCUGCCUUGCGAACGGGAAGCUCAAAGUCACCUAAAUCGAAACUUUAGGG
rnacentral:rRNA from 1 species